GGAGGAUUCGCCUAGUGGUCUAUGGCGCACGCUUGGAAAGCGUGUUGGGUGCAAGCCCUCGCGAGUUCGAAUCUCGCAUCCUCCG
rnacentral:tRNA from 1 species